rnacentral:tRNA from 1 species
UCCCAGGUGGCUCAGUGGUAAAGAAUCUGCCUGCAAUGCAGGAGAUGCGGGUUCGAUUCAUGGGUUGGGAA